AGAGUUUGAUCAUGGCUCAGAUUGAACGCUGGCGGAAUGCUUUACACAUGCAAGUCGAACGAUGAACCUUAGCUUGCUAAGGGGAUUAGUGGCGAACGGGUGAGUAAUAUAUCGGAACGUGCCUUGUAAUGGGGGAUAACUAGUCGAAAGAUUAGCUAAUACCGCAUACGCCCUGAGGGGGAAAGUAGGGGAUCUUCGGACCUUACGUUAUAAGAGCGGCCGAUAUCUGAUUAGCUAGUUGGUGGGGUAAUGGCCUACCAAGGCUUCGAUCAGUAGCUGGUCUGAGAGGACGACCAGCCACACUGGAACUGAGACACGGUCCAGACUCCUACGGGAGGCAGCAGUGGGGAAUUUUGGACAAUGGGCGCAAGCCUGAUCCAGCCAUUCCGCGUGAGUGAAGAAGGCCUUCGGGUUGUAAAGCUCUUUCGCAAGGGAAGAAAACUUACACAAUAACACUGUGUGAGGCUGACGGUACCUUGAUAAGAAGCACCGGCUAACUACGUGCCAGCAGCCGCGGUAAUACGUAGGGUGCGAGCGUUAAUCGGAAUUACUGGGCGUAAAGCGUGCGCAGGCGGUUUGGCAAGUCAGAUGUGAAAUCCCCGAGCUCAACUUGGGAACUGCGUUUGAAACUGCCAGACUAGAAUAUGUCAGAGGGGGGUAGAAUUCCACGUGUAGCAGUGAAAUGCGUAGAGAUGUGGAGGAAUA
rnacentral:rRNA from 1 species